UGUGGUGUUUCUGAAAGAAGCAAUAUCUUGGAAUGAGCUUUCCAAGGAGAAAAAUAUUUUCUUAGAUCAGAAAUAAUCUUUUUCAUUGAUCUAUCCAUAAUUACUAAUUAUUGAUUUAGACAAAAAUAUGUAUAUCGAUUAUCGAAUAGUAUUCUCAAAAAUUUCUUUAUAAAUAGUAAAAUAACUUGAAUUUUAUUUGAUACCGCAUUACUGGAUUCUACACUAGUAUUCUAUUUUCGGUGGAUCGUCAAUGUAACGAGAAGAAGAUUCACAAUUUUAUGGCAGACCAAAAAUACUACUAUGAUAUAUGAAGCCCAACAAGCGAGAGUACCGUAAUCAGUAUCCGCACUGGGAGUAUAAUCCAGUAAACUAACGAGGCCAUUAUCCCGAACUCUUGAAUUUGGGAGCGGUAGGACGUCGCCUCGCGUUCCGUUGAAGCUCCAAGAAAAUCGAAUCAACUCGUCUGGAACUGCCUCGAUUUCGCAUCUCAGGGUCACCGUUUCGUGUCGAACAGCCGCUAUUUCUCGCCUCUCAUAACCCUCUCUACAUCUUGGAGCAUCUGCACGUCAUCGAAUACGAUAUCAUUCCGAGGAAGAAACGAGAAAGAAGCGAACUUACGUCGUGAUACCAAAUGACCUUCGUCGGUGGAGGAUUGCUCUGAACGUCGCAGACCAAUUUCAGAUCAUCUCCUUCUCUCAAUGUAUUUAGAAUAUAUCCUGUUGCUAGAUGAGCCGUGAGGACCGGUGCGU